AACGAACGCUGGCGGCAUGCCUAACACAUGCAAGUCGAACGAAACCUUCGGGUUUAGUGGCGGACGGGUGCGUAACACGUGGGAACCUGCCCUUUGGUUCGGAAUAACUCACCGAAAGUUGUGCUAAUACCGGAUGUGCUCUUCGGGGCAAAGAUUUAUCGCCUUUUGAUGGGCCCGCGUUUGAUUAGCUAGUUGGUGAGGUAAAAGCCCACCAAGGCGACGAUCAAUAGCUGGUCUGAGAGGAUGACCAGACAGACUGGGGCUGAGACACGGCCCACACUCCCCCGCGGGGGAGAGGAGUGGGGAAUAGUGGACUGGGGGAGAAAGCGUCACAGCCAAGUGGCGUGAGAGAGGAAGAGGUUAGAAUGGUGAAAUGCUCUUUUACGCGGCGUGAAUGACGGUACACGGAGAAGAAGCGCCGGCUAACUUCGUG
rnacentral:rRNA from 1 species